AAUUCUUGUGUGAAGUCGCCAUUUUCCAACAUAUGAAAUUCUUCUAUGUCAUACCUCGAUCCACAUGCUAGUUGACAACUUUCCAACAUUCUGCCAUGUGGUAGUAUCCCAUAUGUGAAUCACCGCUGAGCAUUGUUUAUGUCACCUGCCGCAAACAUAGGUGCCACGCAUCAAAGUGCCAUUCGUGCCAGUGCGCAUUUGCCUUGUUGGACCCACAAUCUCAUCAUGUAAGUCCACACACAAUCAUGUUUCUUCUAUGCCGAAUUAAUACGAGCCUGCAAUGUCAACCCUUGUCCCUUCCUGUAAGGAAGGAACCAUAUUUUCACAUAUAGUUUAACUUAAAGAAAUAAAAAAAUAGUACUUUGUGAUAUGUGUGCACUCACCUGCAUGAAUGAAGCAAAAGUUGGUUCAAACCUACAAGAAGCGGCACUAAAAACUAAUCUACGGGGAGUUAUAGAAACUCUGUUGAGUAUAUCCCUAACGUACCGACAUUUAAAGGAUAAAAUACGACAUACUAUAUAUACAUACCCAUACCACGUAUCAUGUGACUAUAGGUACUACAUAUACAACUGAGCUUUGGAGUAUUCUCAAAGAUAGGAGUUAGACUAAGAGUAGGGUAUUAGAAACUUGGUGGUGGAAUUAUACUUUGUAACUAUUAUCAAAUAUCACAAGUUGGCAAGCAAGAAGCAAAGGUGUGUGAUUCAAGUCCAAGUCACGUCAUGGCCGGACUAAACUUCUAGGCUUCGGCUGAGUACCAAACGUAGGCGACUCUACUCCAGACGGCCCAUGGUUGAAACCACACAAUUGACCAGUCUAGAGAGUGGACAUAGUUGAUCGGACAAAGCCCAAACGACACAAAUGUGUAUGUCGUUUGCGCCUUGUGUCAACUUCUUCCAUGCAACAAGCAUAGGCCUAAUAUGCAGCUGUGAGGGGUAAAGUAGGCUAUAAGUAAACUAUCCAUAGAGUAUGGACAUGUCACAACCACUCGACAAGGUUAAAGCAACCCUCCCUUGUCUAUGAUAGACUCGACAAAAUAGAUGUUCGACCAUAUUCCAAAAGCAUCUACCAAAGAAUAUUCAAUGUCGUUCUCCUCUGGAAAUAGGGGGCACCCCCAUAAGUAAUUUAACACCAAAAACUUUAUAUUACUCUUGCAUUCUAUUCUCUACACUCAUAUAUCUCUUACUUACUAUCUUGAGUGUCAAUAUUUUUUCAAGUACCCACCCAAGUGCUACGGAGGCAAUAUUCAGAUAAUACCCUGCCCAAAAUCUACCAUACCAAAGAACAAUAACAACAACAAACUUCUUCUACAUACAAACACUGUAAUUUCUAAGGAUCAGAAUAUUGUAGGUCAUGGUCACAAAAUUCACCUACAAUCCUAUGAUCUUUGUACCAAUUCACGCGUUCUAAAUUGUGGUAGGUUUGCAACUCGAUUCACAGCAGAUGGAGACAUGUUUUGCAGCCAUUAGAAAAACCAACCAUGGAUCUUCACAUAGUUUAAACUUCAAAGAUGUGUCCUUUUUGCGUUAUGUAUCCUAUUUGUUGAUUUCAUGGCACUUCAGAGAUAAGGUGGAAAAAAAAAAGGAGAGAAUUGGAAAGAGAUGGAUGAUGGCCACAAAGUUUAGGGAAGUC
rnacentral:lncRNA from 1 species